rnacentral:rRNA from 1 species
CGAUGAGUGCUAGCUGUCAGGCCCAUAGGGUUUGGUGGCGCCGCUAACGCAUUAAGCACUCCGCCUGGGGUGUACGGUCGCAAGAUUAAAACUCAAAGGAAUUGACGGGGACCCGCACAAGCGGUGGAGCAUGUGGUUUAAUUCGAGGCAACGCGAAGAACCUUACCAGCCCUUGACAUACCGGUCGCGGAUUAGAGAGAUCUUUUCCUUCAGCUUGGCUGGACCGUGUACAGGUGCUGCACGGCUGUCGUCAGCUCGUGUCGUGAGAUGUUGGGUUAAGUCCCGCAACGAGCGCAACCCUCAUCCUUAGUUGCCAGCACGUAAUGGUGGGAACUCUAAGGAAACUGCCGGUGAUAAGCCGGAGGAAGGUGGGGAUGACGUCAAGUCUUCAUGGCCCUUAUGGGCUGGGCUACACACGUGCUACAAUGGCGGUGACAGUGGGCAGCAAACUCGCGAGAGUAAGCUAAUCCUCAAAAACCGUCUCAGUUCGGAUUGGACUCUGCAACUCGAGUCCAUGAAGUUGGAAUCGCUAGUAAUCGUAGAUCAGCAUGCUACGGUGAAUACGUUCCCGGGUCUUGUACACACCGCCCGUCACACCAUGGGAGUUGGUUCUACCUUAAGGCAUCGAGCUAACCUUCGGGAGGCAGGUGACCACGGUAGGAUUGGCGACUGGGGUGAAGUCGUAACAAGGUA